GACGAACGCUGGCGGCGUGCUUAACACAUGCAAGUCGAACGAAGUGUCGAACGGGUGAGUAACGCGUAAUCAACCUGCCCUUCAGAGGGGGACAACAGUUGGAAACGACUGCUAAUACCGCAUACUGAAGGAGGGGAUUGCGUCUGAUUAGCUGUGUGGAGGGGUAACGGACCACCAAGGCGAUGACCAGUAGCCGGGCUGAGAGGAUGAACGUCCACAUGGGGACUGAGACACGGCCCAGACUCCUACGGGAGGCAGCAGUGGGUAAUCUUCCGCAAUGGACGAAAGUCUGACGGAGCAACGCCGCGGGAGUGAUGACGGCCUUCGGGUUGUAAAGCUCUGUUAAUCGGGACGCGGUACCGGAAUAGAAAGCCACGGCUAACUACGUGCCAGUAGCCGCGGUAAUUC
rnacentral:rRNA from 1 species